CCAAUUUGAGCUUUUAAGACUACAAGCAUUUGUGAAAAAGAUAUCCCUGUCAUUCAUACGAGCUGGAUCUAAGCCCCUUCAACUUCCCUUAGCCUGAUUAGUAUUACGCAUCCAUCCACCCACCCAAGAAGCCCAUAAAAGGUCAGGGCAACAUUUUCACAAGUGAAUAAUCCUCUUCUGUGCCUUCAAAUCUCUGAGAACUAGCUGCAAGUUGUUGCAAGCCCAAAGUCAGAGGCAUCCAAAAUUUGCAAAUAAAUGGCUAAAUACAGCCAUUUCAGACUCCCCUGCUCCAAUUUCUUCCUACCUAUUCCUCUGCAAUUUAACUUGCCCUGCAGGACCUGUGGCAGUAGCCUCUGAGUGACUAAACUAGCAUCAGAUGAAUCCCACCUAUCCUUUUGGCAGCUUGGGAUUUAAAAGAGGGAAGAGCUGGCAGGAAAAAGACACUGCGUGGGAUGAACCUCUCUCAUGCCAUUUGUCCCUCCUCUGUAAUUUCUUAUCAAGUCCCGCAUCCUCAGCAUCCAGUGAUGGUCUCCCUCUGCCUGCCUGUGGCACUAGAGGGCACAGAAAUUUCGGCUGUAAAUCCAACUCUCCGUGGAUUCCUACUCUCCCUUAAACUGAACUCAACUUUCAAAGAGGUCUUGAUUUCACAGAAGAGGAAUCUGCUUCAUUAUUACUGGUUUGCCUGCAUUUCCCAUGCUACAUUACUAUGGAAACGGCAUCAGAAAAUAAGCCUUUUGCAUGUGAAAUCUCUGAGCCCUCCAACGCUGCUAGCAAGGAGGUUGGUCGGGGGGAACAUUGAAUGGGAAAUCCUGCAGUGGGCAGGGCGGCGGGAGGAGCCUCUCGGCUGCCGCAACCCGGAGGAGGGCC
ensembl:lncRNA